rnacentral:rRNA from 1 species
AUUGAACGCUGGCGGAAUGCUUUACACAUGCAAGUCGAACGGUAGAGGGGGCAACCCCUCGAGAGUGGCGAACGGGUGAGUAAUAUAUCGGAACGUGCCCAGUCGUGGGGGAUAAUGUAGCGAAAGUUACGCUAAUACCGCAUACGAUCUAAGGAUGAAAGCGGGGGAUCGCAAGACCUCGCGCGAUUGGAGCGGCCGAUAUCAGAUUAGGUAGUUGGUGGGGUAAAGGCUCACCAAGCCAGCGAUCUGUAGCUGGUCUGAGAGGACGACCAGCCACACUGGAACUGAGACACGGUCUAGACUCCUACGGGAGGCAGCAGUGGGGAAUUUUGGACAAUGGACGCAAGUCUGAUCCAGCCAUUCCGCGUGCAGGAUGAAGGCCCUCGGGUUGUAAACUGCUUUUGUACGGAACGAAAAGGUCUCUCUUAAUACGGGGGACUCAUGACGGUACCGUGAGAAUAAGCACCGGCUAACUACGUGCCAGCCGCCGCGGUAACAC